rnacentral:rRNA from 1 species
AGUGAACGCUGGCGGUAGGCCUAACACAUGCAAGUCGAACGGCAGCACAGUAAGAGCUUGCUCUUACGGGUGGCGAGUGGCGGACGGGUGAGAAAUACAUCGGAAUCUACUUUUUCGUGGGGGAUAACGUAGGGAAACUUACGCUAAUACCGCAUACGACCUACGGGUGAAAGCAGGGGAUCUUCGGACCUUGCGCGAUUGAAUUAGCCGAUGUUGGAUUAGCUAGUUGGCGGGGUAAAGGCCCACCAAGGCGACGAUCCGUAGCUGGUCUGAGAGGAUGAUCAGCCACACUGGAACUGAGACACGGUCCAGACUCCUACGGGAGGAAGCAGUGGGGAAUAUUGGACAAUGGGCGCAAGCCUGAUCCAGCCAUACCGCGUGGGUGAAGAAGGCCUUCUGGUUGUAAAGCCCUUUUGUUGGGAAAGAAAAGCAGCAGGUUAAUACCCCGCUGUUCUGACGGUACCCAAAGAAUAAGCACCGGCUAACUUCGUG